rnacentral:snoRNA from 1 species
AAGCCUAUACUUUCAGGGAUUAUUUCUUUAGUUACUACUAUUGAGUUUUCUUUGAGUGGACAGAGCACUGAAAACCGCAGAGGGUGCAUGGAGUUGCUUUACUGUAGCUGCUACUUGCCAUUCUUCUUUCUCUGGGAGAGUAAGGGAGAGAUUGCAGUCUGAAUGGU